rnacentral:rRNA from 1 species
AGAUUAAGUUAUUAAGGGCGCACGGUGGAUGCCUUGGCACUAGAAGCCGACGAAGGACGUUACUAACGACGAUAUGCUUUGGGUAGCUGUAAGUAAGCGUUGAUCCAGAGAUUUCCGAAUGGGGGAACCCAGCACGAGUUAUGUCGUGUUAUCGACAAGUGAAUUCAUAGCUUGUCAGAAGGCAGACCCGGAGAACUGAAACAUCUUAGUACCCGGAGGAAGAGAAAGAAAAAUCGAUUCCCUGAGUAGCGGCGAGCGAAACGGGAAGAGCCCAAACCAAUAAGCUUGCUUAUUGGGGUUGUAGGACACUCUAUACGGAGUUACAAAGGAAUAUAUUAGACGAAUCAUCUGGAAAGUUGAAUCAAAGAAGGUAAUAAUCCUGUAGUUGAAAAUAUAUUCUCUCUUGAGUGGAUCCUGAGUACGACGGAGCACGUGAAAUUCCGUCGGAAUCUGGGAGGACCAUCUCCUAAGGCUAAAUACUCUCUAGUGACCGAUAGUGAACCAGUACCGUGAGGGAAAGGUGAAAAGUACCCCGGAAGGGGAGUGAAAGAGAACUUGAAACCGUGUGCUUACAAGUAGUCAGAGCCCGUUAAUGGGUGAUGGCGUGCCUUUUGUAGAAUGAACCGGCGAGUUACGAUCUGAUGCAAGGUUAAGCAGGAAAUGUGGAGCCGUAGCGAAAGCGAGUCUGAAUAGGGCGUUGAGUAUUUGGUCGUAGACCCGAAACCAGGUGAUCUACCCAUGGUCAGGUUGAAGUUCAGGUAACACUGAAUGGAGGACCGAACCGACUUACGUUGAAAAGUGAGCGGAUGAACUGUGGGUAGCGGAGAAAUUCCAAUCGAACUUGGAGAUAGCUGGUUCUCUCCGAAAUAGCUUUAGGGCUAGCCUCAAGUGAUGAUUAUUGGAGGUAGAGCACUGUUUGGACGAGGGGCCCCUCUCGGGUUACCGAAUUCAGACAAACUCCGAAUGCCAAUUAAUUUAACUUGGGAGUCAGAACAUGGGUGAUAAGGUCCGUGUUCGAAAGGGAAACAGCCCAGACCACCAGCUAAGGUCCCAAAAUAUAUGUUAAGUGGAAAAGGAUGUGGCGUUGCCCAGACAACUAGGAUGUUGGCUUAGAAGCAGCCAUCAUUUAAAGAGUGCGUAAUAGCUCACUAGUCGAGUGACACUGCGCCGAAAAUGUACCGGGGCUAAACAUAUUACCGAAGCUGUGGAUUGUCCGUAGGACAAUGGUAGGAGAGCGUUCUAAGGGCGUUGAAGCAUGAUCGCAAGGACAUGUGGAGCGCUUAGAAGUGAGAAUGCCGGUGUGAGUAGCGAAAGACGGGUGAGAAUCCCGUCCACCGAUUGACUAAGGUUUCCAGAGGAAGGCUCGUCCGCUCUGGGUUAGUCGGGUCCUAAGCUGAGGCCGACAGGCGUAGGCGAUGGAUAACAGGUUGAUAUUCCUGUACCACCUAGCAUCGUUUUAAUCGAUGGGGG